rnacentral:rRNA from 1 species
UACGGAGGGUGCAAGCGUUAUCCGGAUUCACUGGGUUUAAAGGGUGCGUAGGUGGGCAGGUAAGUCAGUGGUGAAAUCUCCGGGCUUAACCCGGAAACUGCCAUUGAUACUAUCAGUCUUGAAUACCGUGGAGGUCAGCGGAAUAUGUCAUGUAGCGGUGAAAUGCUUAGAUAUGACAUAGAACACCAAUUGCGAAGGCAGCUGGCUACACGAAUAUUGACACUGAUGCACGAAAGCGUGGGGAUCAAACAGG